rnacentral:lncRNA from 1 species
AUGCCCGUCCUCCAGGGGCCGCCGCAGCGGAACAUGGCAGACCGUGCCUGUCGCCUCCCCUGGCGCUCGGCGCCGGGAUCCUGCCGAUGCCCGGAGCCCCGCGCGGGGCGCUGGCGGGGAAUCCGGGCGCCCCGCCACCCCAGCCGCCGCGCCCCGCGUCCCCGCCCGCCCGCCGCCUCCUCACCUAUCAGAUUUCCUGUGCGCACCGCGCGCCGCUCCUCCCACCUCCUAAAUGCAGUGCGGAGGGGCCAGCCGCGCUCGGCCUGGACCCAGCUCCUCCGGGGACGGUCCCCACGCGGCUCUGAGCUCGCGGCGGCUGCACCGGCCCCGCGAGGGGAGUGCGGGGCGCACGGCUUGAUAGAAGAAAAAGAGCCAGAAGUCUUUGGAGAACACGAUGGAUCAAGAAUGAGGGGAUGAGGAGUUCCCAUCGUGGAGCACUGGAAAUGAAGCCGACUAGGAACCAUGCAGUUGCAGGUUCGAUCCCUGGCCUUGAUCAGUGGGUUAGGGAUCCAGGGUUGCUGGGAGCUGUGGUGUAGGUUGCAGAUGAGGCUUGGAUCUGGCGUGGCUGUGGCUGUGGCUGUGGCUGGCAGCUGUAGCUCUGAUUCGACGGCUAGCCUGGGAAUCUCUAUAUGCUGCAAAAAAAGCAAAAAAAAAAAAAAAAGGAAUGAGGUAUGAAGAUUGCCCCCAAAUGUACCCAAACUGUUUUGAGCAAUGGCAGAAUUGCUGGGACAAAAUGACUAAUGUUAGGGCCACAGUACUUAAUUCGAUGUUUCAGUUUUGGCCGCUACCCCUUUUAUUUUUAACUUCUGAUUCUCUGUAACUAUUGAAGCCAUUCCUGGGCGUUACAGUUAAAUUUUCAACUCAGUCUAUUGUGUGUCUAACUCUUCCUACUUCAUGUAUUAGUUUUUUAAAGGUGUUUUGCUCUCAGGUUGUUUGUUUUCUGAACUCGGCAGGUUCCCUUUUUAAUCUCAUUCCUUUGCUUUGUC